UGUGCACUUCCGAUCUGAAGAAAUUGUCAGAGGUGGAGAAAGAGGAUCAGGAGCUGCUGGGAGCUCGCUCUCUUCCUCUGAGGAGCUACCUGAUGACGCAGGUGAUGCCGUCACUUACCGAGGCCAUGGUGGAGUGCUGCAGGAUCAAAGCCGAGGACCCCAUGGACUUUCUGGCUGAAUAUCUUCUACGAAACAACCACGAAGAU